UACGGGGGGGGCAAGCGUUGUUCGGAAUUACUGGGCGUAAAGGGCUCGUAGGCGGCCAACUAAGUCGGAUGUGAAAUCCCCAGGCUUAACCUGGGAACUGCAUCCGAUACUGGAUGGCUUGAAUCCGGGAGAGGGAUGCAGAAUUCCAGGUGUAGCGGUGAAAUGCGUAGAUAUCUGGAGGAACACCGAUGGCGAAGGCAGGUCUCUGGGCCGAUACUGACGCUGAGGAGCGAAAGCGUGGGGAGCGAACAGG
rnacentral:rRNA from 1 species